UGAUUGGAGUUUAUUAUUCUGAUAUGACCGAGAACGACCCAGAAGCUGCUCGCUGCACAGGAAUGAGCAGAAUGUGGAGACACUCCUCAUGAGGCUGAUCAGAGAGGAAGACCAUGACCGAUGGGAUGAAGGCCUUCAGCAGCAGAGAGAACUGAGGUGGGAGUUUGUCUGGAUGUUUGAGGAAAGAUGCUACAUGAACAUCUCAGCAUAGCCUUGUCAGAGGACACCUGAAGAGGAAGACUACUGGAGUCGCAUGAUGCUCGACUGCUUCAGCAGCAUGAUGGCGGUGUGGAGGUGUUCUCUCUAAAGGUGCCUGGCUUUGGAAGGCUUGUGCCACCUCUCCAUGUGUUCACCCAGGCUCACGAUCCUGGUGUGAAUGCCGAUCUGGACUUUAAAGAUCAUCGAUGCUGAACUGAGGUCCAACAGAAUCAUCCAAGCUCAUCAGCGAGGAUUGGAGCCCUCCGUCAGCAGCAGACACCAGUGCAGCUACAGGUCCUGGCAUCGCAUGCUUCUGAUCUCACUGUUGGCACAUGUUGGUUUGUUGCUGUCUGAAGUGUCAGGAACAGGAACUUGCCUCUGCUACAGCAUGAAGUCGGCGUCUCGGUCGUGCACACGUUGACAAAUGCUGGCUCCCUAUUGAAGCACCAUCUCUGAUCUUGUGUUGCUGAUGAAGUGUUAAAGAUGCCACCACUUUUGUAAUGAAGCCUUCAAAUGAACUUGAAAUAAAGUACAGUUUUCACUACAGCU